UGCCUCUCUAGCUCAAUUGGUAGAGCAACGGACUCUUAAUCCGUGGGUUCUGGGUUCGAGUCCCAGGGGGGGUAA
rnacentral:tRNA from 1 species